CAUUAGGUGACUGAAAGCAAGUCAUGGAAUUUUAAACCAUUUUAUAGUAAAUUGGCACUUACUUCUAAUGA
rnacentral:tRNA from 1 species